rnacentral:lncRNA from 1 species
AUGUGCAGUGACUGGAAGGGUGUGUCAGUUUCAAAACAACUAACAGUCACUGAAAAAAUAGAAGCUUUCUGCUCAGGUGCUAGACUUGGCCUCAGGAUAUUCUCACUGGCAAGGGACAGCUCCCUGUCAUUCUUAAUGGACAAUAGCAGCCCCAAGCCAAAGACCAUUGUAGUGUAUCUUCCAGUGGAGAAAAGGAUACCUAAUCUUUAUGUGCUCAUGAAGAGUUCAUAGCCCAGAUUGUGCAAUGCUCUAUGUGAUGCAACUGGAAAAUUAGGCCCUUCAGAAAGGUGAGCUAAAGGAGUACGCUUAAUGAAAAGUUUGUCUAAACCCAGCAGCCGCUGGGACAAUCAUGGGAAGGGAUGUGUCUUAACUAACUCCUCUGAAAGUGUUUCUGUCUUCAUAGGAUGUGCAUGAGGAGACUUAAGUGCCCAGUGUGGAAGUGAAAAUUGUACACAGUAAUGAUCUCAGAUGCUAAACAGGAAUCACAGCGAUUCAGUUUACUCCAGCCCAGAGAGGUUUACAUGUCUUCACUGUUGAAAAUACUCUAAUGUGAGGCAGUAAAUUUGGGGAUAGGGCAUCAGGAUACCUUCAUUUUGACCAGUUGAAGCUAGAACACUGUUCAUCUCAAAUUGCUAAAUAAUGAGA